AGCUCGAAUGUGAGAUUAAUACAUAUGUCACACACUCACGCUUGUUUGUUUGUGAAAUGUGAUCAACCAAAUGCUGUAUAUUUUAGUGAUUGAUUUGACCGACAUUUUAUUGAUUAUAUUUCUAGUGCAAUUUGAUUGAAUACCGCAGAUGAAGUGUCACGAGAAAGACUAUUCUAUUCUCUAAAAAGAUAUACAUUCACAGAUAAAAAUCUGAGCAUAUGUGAGUUUGGGACCCAUGUAUUUUUUUAGUAAAAAGAUGGAAAAUAAUCCUCAAAAAAAAACUUCAGAUUUCAUACCUUUUUUUUAUUUAACAGAUUUCAUACCAUUAGAUUAAAUUAAUAUUAUGUACUCUCCUUCUCAGUUUUAUUUAAGGUUUAAAUUGCUGGGGACCAUUUGGAUUUAAGAGAGAAAAAACUCAUAAAUUCGUUCAGAAAAAGAUUCGAGUUUAGAAACUGGAAUAAAAUCAUCAUCGUUAGUACGAACUAAUUAGAACAUCUUCAAAGAGACAUUCUAUUUGAAGUUUCUAAAUCUUAUAUUUGAAGUUUAAAUGUAUUAUUCUCUAAAAUCAAAAUUUCAAAUAAACUUCAAACAUAUUUUUAUUUAUACUAUGGUUUUUAUAUUUAUAAUAAUUAAUUUAAAUUCAUAAAAAAAUUACUAACACAAAUAUAAAAAUAUUACAACAAUAUUAAUUAGUAAAAUGUUAUAUUAAAAUAUAAUUUUUUAAAAAAGAUAACAUAAUUAAUAUUAAAAUUUAAGCAAAAUACCAUAAUAUUCCAUAAAAUUAUUUCCCUUAUGCAUAUAUGAUCAUCCAGUGCAUUUCGAAUUAAAAAAGACUCUCUUUAUUUUUAAUUUGUAGAUUACAAACUAAAAAUUGUUGAAAUCGGGUGAUAUCAAUACUUGUAAAUAUAUUAUAUCUGAAAAAAGUAAAAGAGAAAAAUAAAAUAUUGCUGCAAAACUUAACUUCUACCAAUGACAUUAAUACUUGUGAAUACAUUUGAUCUGAACCAGAAAGAAUCAUACGAAAAAUACAUAAAAAAACAUCAACCAUCUUCGGUUACACAAAUUUGUUUGAACAAUAUUUUGGAGAUUUUGGAGGUUCCGGAUGACGUUUACCUGACUAUUAGUGUUUUGUAAUAUUUAAAUUUGUUUAAUAGUUAUGUCUUCAUGUAAUUUUUUUAAAAAAAUAUUUUGUUAAGUUUCUUUUACAUAUUGUUGUUUUAUAAAUCUAGUCAAAAUAUUUUAAAUCUUCAUUAGCUUUAUUUAAUUUUAUAUGUAAAACUUAAAUUUAUAAAAAAAUUGAAAUAUUUAUGAGAUAUAAAAAUUUGAAAGAUUAAAACGAUAAACAAAGAAUUAUUAGAGAAUAUAAAUGUGAUGUAUAAUUGUAAGAACCAAAAUGCAAACAAAAAUAUAAAAUUUUGAAUUUGAAAUUUUGGAGAGCAAAAAACUUCAUAUUUAAAGUUAUAUAGUUUCUUUCGGAGAUGCUCUACAAAGUGCAACAUAAUUAAUCUUUAAUUUACUACGUUUCAGAAAAGAUUUCUGUUCUUCUAGGACAAUAAUAAGACAAUAAUGAUUUUGUGUGUGUCGUAUCACUAGAUGCUUAAGAUCGCAACUUAAAAUCUAAAAACCACUGAUUUGUUUGACUUUAUAUUAAUUAUCUAUUUGGGCAGGACUAAUGUGUAGUACUCUUAGUACAAAUUAAUUAUUUAUUAAUAAUUACGAAAAACAGCUAAUCAUCAACGAAAUGAAAUAUUUUACUCCAAAUAUUUCCCGGACCGACUCUCUUUCACACGCGCAGUACUUGAAGGUGCGGCUCUGAACCAUCGUGCUGUCACGUAUUCGCCCAUAACAUAUUAUUUAUUUGUUAUUAUCUUUUAGAUAGAAAUGGAAGAUUCAUAACAUAUUAGAGUUUGAUUAGUUCUUCCACUAUCAUCCACCAAAAUUAUGUUUGUGGAAAGUUAUAUUUGUUAAUGAUUGAGAAUAAGUUACACAAAUUAUUAGAAAAUAUAUGAUCCUAACAUUGGCAUAGAAAAUAUAUUGAUCCUAACAAAUUAUUAGAUAGAAAGUUAUAUGCACUUCACCACUUCAGUCAGCUAUUUUGUAAACUAAUAGAGGAGAAAAAGUAAACUUUGGCAUGAAAAGUUUUUUGGACAGAGAGUUACUUAGAUGAUCCUAACAUUGAAUAAAUGUUCAGAGAAUAUUUUUAAGUACGAUGAAGAUUUACUCUUUUUUAUAAUCAGUUAAAAAUGUUUUUUCUUUAAUAAUUUAUCUAUACUUACUUUAUAAACUAGGCCAGCUUUUGCUAUUUAUGAAUAAUUUGUCGACAGACAAUCAAUCUACUUUAACUUGGAGAUGGUAAGACCAUCAUUAUCCGGGUCUCUUAGCAAGGGUAUUUAGUUUAUUUAGGAAUUAAAGAAAAAGAAAAAAGGCAAUUACCAUAAGAGACGUAUGUUAAUUAGGCAACGGAAGAUACGUCUCUUGCUCACCAAUCUCAUCGCCUUCUUCUCUGGCUCUCCUCUCAACCAAAACUCAUCUCCACUCCCCUUCUUCCUCCUCACUCCCAACCCCUAAUCUUCUCCUCCAGAAUCCCCGAUCUUCCUUUUUGCUUCCCGCUCGCGAUUUCAUCAAGAGGAGGGAUGAGUUCGUCGACUGUGCGCGGACAGGCUGGAACCGGAAGAUCAGACCGGAGUACGGGUUUGAUGACGAGGAUUACGAAGACGAGCACAAAGAGGAAGGAAGAAGAUAGAACUUGGAUCUUUUACUUAGGUUCGUGGAGAAUGUCUUUAGAAAAGUCUCCAAGAGAGCGAGGGGAGCCGUCAUUAACUUGCAUGUUUCCAUCUCCACCAAGCUGGUAAAGUCUCGACCUUUCGAAUGUAACUGAUGAUCGUUCUUCGAGUAUUGUGCUGUUUUGUUCAAUGUAGGUGGGGUUCUCAGUGAAUGGCGUACGUAUACUUGCGUUUUUGUGGAUCUUGAAAGGCCUUUCUCGAGGUAGCUUGUACACUUGGGACUAUUGUAUUUACGAGCAUUCUGCUUAAAUACAACAUCUUCUUGAUGUUUAAAUCUUAAACCAGGUUUGGUUCCUUUUGUUGUUCUUACAAGGUAUCUAGCUCCAGAGUACUUUAUGCAUGGGAUUGUUGAUGAGAAGACGGAUGUGUUUGCGUUUGGAGUGUUGCUUUUGGAGAUUAUAACCGGUCGUCGAGCUGUUGAUACAGCAAGCCGGCAAAGUAUAGCUAUGUGGGUAAUGAUCUUAAAACUUUGUAAAAGCAUUUUCCAUUUUCAUCUUCAAAGUCCAGUGAUCUUAAUGUGAAUGGUAUAAAGAAGUUGUAUAAGCUGACACUUAUUCUCAAACUUGCAUUGUGAAGAUAUACCAAAGCUUAUUCUUAUUGAU